rnacentral:rRNA from 1 species
UACAGAGACUGCAAGCGUUAUUCGGAUUUACUGGGCGUAAAGCGCGUGUAGGCGGCUGGUUAGGCGUGAUGUGAAAUCUUCCGGCUCAACCGGAAAACUGCAUUGCGAACCGGCCUGGCUAGAGUGCAGGAGAGGGAAGCGGAAUUCCAGGUGUAGCGGUGAAAUGCGUAGAUAUCUGGGGGAACACCAGUGGCGAAGGCGGCUUCCUGGCCUGCAACUGACGCUGAGACGCGAAAGCGUGGGGAGCGAACCGG